GGGGUUGUGGCUCAGUGGUAGAGCACUUGCCUAGCACGUGCAAGGUACUGGAUUCCAUCCUCAGCACCA
rfam:Ictidomys tridecemlineatus contig058577, whole genome shotgun sequence.